rnacentral:rRNA from 1 species
AGGUCCGAUCAUACUAGCGUUAAUGCACCAUAUCCCAUUAGAACUCCAUAGUUAAGUGCGCUUAGGCUAGAGUAGUACUGGGAUGGGUGACCUCCCGAGAAGUCCUAGUGUUGCACCCU